rnacentral:rRNA from 1 species
UACGGAGGAUCCGAGCGUUAUCCGGAUUUAUUGGGUUUAAAGGGUGCGUAGGUGGGCCUGUAAGUCAGUGGUGAAGGUUUGCAGCUUAACUGUAAAAUUGCCGUUGAAACUGCCGGUCUUGAGUGCAAAUGAGGUAAGCGGAAUGUGUUGUGUAGCGGUGAAAUGCUUAGAUAUGACACAGAACACCGAUUGCGAAGGCAGCUUACUGGGAUGCCACUGACACUGAGGCACGAAAGCGUGGGUAUCAAACAGGAUUAGAUACCCCCGUAGU